ACUCAGUUCAGACGAGACCACCCGCUGAAUUUAAGCAUAUCACUAAGCGGAGGAAAAGAAACUAACAAGGAUUCCCUCAGUAACGGCGAGUGAAGCGGGAAGAGCCCAGCACCGAAUCCCGCAGCGUCGCGCUGCCGGGAACUNUGGUGUUGGGGACGCCAACCGUCGACGGGUCCUCGUUGCGCCCAAGUCCUCCUGAUCGGGGCCUCUCCCACGGCGGGUGUCAGGCCUUUAGCGGCGCGGGACUCGUCGGCUCCGAGCGUCCCAAGAGUCGGGUUGUUUGAGAAUGCAGCCCAAAGCGG
rnacentral:rRNA from 1 species